rnacentral:lncRNA from 1 species
ACGCUCGGGCGAGCCUGGAGGAUUGCAUUUCCUCGUAGGCUGGCAGAGCCUUACAUGAAGCGCUCAUCUUCUCCUACUUUCCUCCUCUUUAAAAAAUUAACGUGGGUGAGGAGACGUCCUAGUUGAGUACAUAUUGAUUUGAAAUAACCAAAACUUUUAACAAAUCACUUUUCUCAGAAGAAUCCAGUAAGAGAAAGAUAAUUUCUUCCAAAGACAUGAGACGUUCCCUGGCUGGCCAAGAAAAAUUGGCAUCUGGCAUACCUAGGAAUCAUUCAAAAUAGUUUAAUAGGAAGGACAUUUUGAGGCCAGCCAGCAUUAUGACAUUUGUGGGUCCUACGGCAUUUCACCUUGGAAACAUUUUCCUGGGCAUCUAAAAGUAUUGUGGACCUGAGACACUGUGCUUACAGGGCCUACUGGGUUGAUUCUAAAGAAGAAAGAAAAUCUAUAUGCAUGAAAAGAUGUCUUAAAAAGUUUUGAACUACUCAAAGUUAAGAUUUGGGGAAAUAGAAAUAGUAUAUAACUUAAGAAAAUUGCCACUGGCUGUGAACCCCCAUGGCAUUUUCUUUGCACUUUUUUGCUUCUCGUUAGAUUGUAUGUGUUUUUACCAUUUCACACAAACUUUUAAAGAUUAUUCCACGCCGUUAGCUCUGUGCUUCUAUUAGUGUCUCUAUCUCUCUUUCUCUCUCUCUUCCAUCUGAGUACAAUGGCUAGAAAAUAAUACACACUUGAAUGAAUAAAUGUCAUUUAAAUAUUUUAAUAAACAGAAGGAAUAGUACAAUAUAUUUCCCUUGACCAA